UACGUAGGGUGCAAGCGUUAAUCGGAAUUACUGGGCGUAAAGCGUGCGCAGGCGGUUUUGUAAGUCUGUCGUGAAAUCCCCGGGCUCAACCUGGGAAUUGCGAUGGAGACUGCAAGGCUAGAAUCUGGCAGAGGGGGGGUAGAAUUCCACGUGUAGCAGUGAAAUGCGUAGAGAUUGGAAAGAACACCGAUGGCGAAGGCACUUUACUGGGCUAUUACUAACACUCAGAGACGAAAGCUAGGGUAGCAAAUGGG
rnacentral:rRNA from 1 species